rnacentral:ncRNA from 1 species
UAAAAGUUAAAUUUAGGAUAUAUUUGAUUUUAGUAUGGAUUUUAAUGGUUAAAAAGUUGAGUAUAUACAUGCGGUUUUUUGAUGUAUAUAAGUUAAAUAAUCUUAAUGAUGGGCUUAUUUUUAUAGCAGUAUUUGAUAUUGUAAAAUUUUAUUUUUAAAGAUACAGUUUAUUUUAUUUUUGACUAGCAAAAAUUGUGCCAGCAGCUGCGGUUACACAAUUAGUCAUUCCAUUAUUUUAGGGAAAUAUUUAUAAUUAUAUAUUGACUAUAUUGAAUUUUAUUUUUAAGUGAAAUUUAAAUUUAUGUUUAAGAGUUUGGUUUGAAAUUAGAUAAUAUAUGAAAUUUAUAAUUUAAACUAGGAUUAGAUACCCUAUUAUUGUAAAUGUAAAUUUAGAAUCUCUAGUAUUAAUAGUUAUGAUCUUUAAAUUAAAAGAAUUUGACGGUGAUUUAAUCUUUUCAGAGGAACCUGUUCUGUAAUUGAUAAUCCACGAUAAAUUUUACUUUAAUUGUGUUUGUAUAUCUCUGUUUAUUGAGUGUUUUAUUAGGAUUAAAUUCUCUUAAAUUUUUAAUAAAUUAUAUAUCAGGUCAAGGUGCAACGAUAUUGAAGUUUGAAAUGGGUUACAUUUAUUUAUAAUUUUGGAUUAAUAAAUUGAAAUACUGUAUUUGGUUAUUAUGAAAUUGGAUUUGAUUGUAAUAAUUAUUAUAUUUUAAUUAUGAUAUUUGUUCUAGAUUGAGUACACAUCGCCCGUCGCUCUCAUUUAUUAAGGUGAGAUAAGUCGUAACAAAGUAGGCCUAUCGGAAGAUGGGCCUAGAAUUAUA